CGCUAGCUACAGGCUUAACACAUGCAAGUCGAGGGGCAUCAGGAAGAAAGCUUGCUUUCUUUGCUGGCGACCGGCGCACGGGUGAGUAACACGUAUCCAACCUGCCCUUUACUCGGGGAUAGCCUUUCGAAAGAAAGAUUAAUACCCGAUAGCAUAAUGAUUCCGCAUGGUUUCAUUAUUAAAGGAUUCCGGUAAAGGAUGGGGAUGCGUUCCAUUAGGUUGUUGGUGAGGUAACGGCCCACCAAGCCUUCGAUGGAUAGGGGUUCUGAGAGGAAGGUCCCCCACAUUGGAACUGAGACACGGUCCAAACUCCUACGGGAGGCAGCAGUGAGGAAUAUUGGUCAAUGGGCGCUAGCCUGAACCAGCCAAGUAGCGUGAAGGAUGAAGGCUCUAUGGGUCGUAAACUUCUUUUAUAUAAGAAUAAAGUGCAGUAUGUAUACUGUUUUGUAUGUAUUAUAUGAAUAAGGAUCGGCUAACUCCGUGCCAGCAGCCGCGGUAAUACGGAGGAUCCGAGCGUUAUCCGGAUUUAUUGGGUUUAAAGGGAGCGUAGGUGGACUGGUAAGUCAGUUGUGAAAGUUUGCGGCUCAACCGUAAAAUUGCAGUUGAUACUGUCAGUCUUGAGUACAGUAGAGGUGGGCGGAAUUCGUGGUGUAGCGGUGAAAUGCUUAGAUAUCACGAAGAACUCCGAUUGCGAAGGCAGCUCACUGGACUGCAACUGACACUGAUGCUCGAAAGUGUGGGUAUCAAACAGGAUUAGAUACCCUGGUGGUCCACACAGUAAACGAUGAAUACUCGCUGUUUGCGAUAUGCAGUAAGCGGCCAAGCGAAAGCAUUAAGUAUUCCACCUGGGGAGUACGCCGGCAACGGUGAAACUCAAAGGAAUUGACGGGGGCCCGCACAAGCGGAGGAACAUGUGGUUUAAUUCGAUGAUACGCGAGGAACCUUACCCGGGCUUAAAUUGCAGUGGAAUGAUGUGGAAACAUGUCAGUGAGCAAUCACCGCUGUGAAGGUGCUGCAUGGUUGUCGUCAGCUCGUGCCGUGAGGUGUCGGCUUAAGUGCCAUAACGAGCGCAACCCUUAUCUUUAGUUACUAACAGGUUAUGCUGAGGACUCUAGAGAGACUGCCGUCGUAAGAUGUGAGGAAGGUGGGGAUGACGUCAAAUCAGCACGGCCCUUACGUCCGGGGCUACACACGUGUUACAAUGGGGGGUACAGAAGGCAGCUAGCGGGUGACCGUAUGCUAAUCCCAAAAUCCUCUCUCAGUUCGGAUCGAAGUCUGCAACCCGACUUCGUGAAGCUGGAUUCGCUAGUAAUCGCGCAUCAGCCACGGCGCGGUGAAUACGUUCCCGGGCCUUGUACACACCGCCCGUCAAGCCAUGGGAGCCGGGGGUACCCGAAGUACGUAACCGCAAGGAUCGUCCUAGGGUAAAACUGGUGACUGGGGCUAAGUCA
rnacentral:rRNA from 1 species